rnacentral:rRNA from 1 species
AUUUUAUGGAGAGUUUGAUCCUGGCUCAGGAUGAACGCUGGCGGCGUGCCUAAUACAUGCAAGUCGAGCGAACGGACGAGAAGCUUGCUUCUCUGAUGUUAGCGGCGGACGGGUGAGUAACACGUGGAUAACCUACCUAUAAGACUGGGAUAACUUCGGGAAACCGGAGCUAAUACCGGAUAAUAUUUUGAACCGCAUGGUUCAAAAGUGAAAGACGGUCUUGCUGUCACUUAUAGAUGGAUCCGCGCUGCAUUAGCUAGUUGGUAAGGCAACGGCUUACCAAGGCAACGAUGCAUAGCCGACCUGAGAGGGUGAUCGGCCACACUGGAACUGAGACACGGUCCAGACUCCUACGGGAGGCAGCAGUAGGGAAUCUUCCGCAAUGGGCGAAAGCCUGACGGAGCAACGCCGCGUGAGUGAUGAAGGUCUUCGGAUCGUAAAACUCUGUUAUUAGGGAAGAACAUAUGUGUAAGUAACUGUGCACAUCUUGACGGUACCUAAUCAGAAAGCCACGGCUAACUACGUGCCAGCAGCCGCGGUAAUACGUAGGUGGCAAGCGUUAUCCGGAAUUAUUGGGCGUAAAGCGCGCGUAGGCGGUUUUUUAAGUCUGAUGUGAAGCCCACGGCUCAACCGUGGAGGGUCAUUGGAAACUGGAAAACUUGAGUGCAGAAGAGGAAAGUGGAAUUCCAUGUGUAGCGGUGAAAUGCGCAGAGAUAUGGAGGAACACCAGUGGCGAAGGCGACUUUCUGGUCUGUAACUGACGCUGAUGUGCGAAGCGUGGGGAUCAAACAGGAUUAGAUACCCUGGUAGUCCACGCCGUAAACGAUGAGUGCUAAGUGUUAGGGGGUUUCCGCCCCUUAGUGCUGCAGCUAACGCAUUAAGCACUCCGCCUGGGGAGUACGACCGCAAGGUUGAAACUCAAAGGAAUUGACGGGGACCCGCACAAGCGG